AUUGUGGGGCUCAGAGGCACCGCGGAAGUCUGAGUAUCAAGAGAUUCGCGCGGAUACCAGAGCUUGGGGUGGGAGGGACUAACAGUUCCUCACCCGGCGCAAGGUACCGCCCCCUGGCCAGGAUGAGCCAAUCACAAGGCCUUCCCGUCCUGGCUCCGGAUUGGCCUCUGGGUUCACAUGACCCAGCCACGAGGCACAUGACAAGACAGCCGCGUCCUUGGUCCCGAGUUUACCUGCUGCGGCCAGAGAGGUCUAAACCUGAAACAACAACCCUCUCGCGGCCUUCGCAGGGUGAGUUAGAUCACUUACUAACUAAAGAGCGCGCCUAAUACGUCCGGGGUCUCGCCGUCAGAGUGACCUGCCCCCACUCCCUCGCUUGUGAAAUGGGCACGGGGAUGCCCAAGACCUGCAUGGGGCAGGGUGUGUGGAGAUGCACUGCUGCGUUUGAGCAGCGAAUGACCUGGCGGAGUGGAGCGGCUGGGGAAGCGGGCCCCACGCCCUCUCUGCUCAGACAGCUGACCCCGGAUCAGGAUGGGCAGAUCCGAGCCCCUGUCCUUGGCUGAAGCAAUCAUGCAUGCGGAUGAAGUCAGGAGUGUCCUCAAAGCCCAUAGAUGGGGAAGACUUACUGAGGCUACAGAGCUUGGAAGAGUGGGAGCCAGGUUGGACCCUGGUGUCAGCAGCCUGCUAACCCCAGUGGCUCUUGCAUCCUGAGACAUGGUGGGCGCGCCCACUGCCAGCACCCCCUUCCAUCCAUUCCAAAUCACCCAAACCCCGAUGACACUCUCCCCAGUGCUUCCUGCUCAAGAACCCUGGGGAGUGGAGCCAGCAGCUUCCCAGUCUUCCUCCUGGCUGGGGCAGAACAUCUGGGGUCUUGAUCUCAUUACACCACAGCCAGGAGGGUUUCAGGCAGAGCAAGGAACAGAGGAGAAGCAGAGUGAAGAGCCUAGAAGCCGUACCUGGAAGGAGGAGAUUGAGAAGUGGGCCGAGGCCCAAAGAACCACCUGCAGAAUAGUUCAUUCAAUUCAGCGCUCAUCUAUUGAACACCCUCUGGGUGCCAAACCUUCUAGGCACUGGGGAUUUAGUUAAACAAAGAUGCAGACAUCCCUACCCUCAUAGAACUUAAGCCUUCUAGUGCAGGGGCGGGACAGUGAACAAGGUACAUAACAUUCAUACCAUGUUAGAAGUGUCGGGUACUGCUGGGAAAAACUAAAAUUGGGGAGACGGAUAGGAAGGGUCUAGGAGGUGGGGAUAAAUUUACAUAAGGGGCAGGGAAGGCCUUACUGAGAAGAUGACUUUGAAGGAAGUGAGGGAAGAGCAUCUAGGCAGUGACUCCACCUGUGCAAGGGCCCUGGGUGAGUGGGUUUGAAUCGUCCGUGUUGUUAAUAAAUCGCUGGCAUGGCAUCUGGAAGCCAGCAGGGGGAGCUCUCGCCCACCAAUCCUCAGUUGCAGACCCACCUGAAGAGAGGAACCUUGGCAGGGAGGGGAUCGGGCUUAGCUCCUUUACUCCGCAGCAGGAGGGAGAUUUCUGCACCCACACGCACACCCCCAAACAGCGAGAGACUGUCACCAAGGUAACGCCACGGGACUCCCAGUUUCCUCAAAGGACUUUUUGUUAGAACAGCCCUCCCAACUCGGCCCUCUGCUCAAGAAGAAUGGUCCUCUCUUUUGCAUCCCGGCUUACCUAGGCUUUGCCUGUUAGCCUGCUUGCCGUCUUCUGCUAUCCGUCCCCCCCC